GAUGAACGCUGGCGGCGUGCCUAAUACAUGCAAGUCGAGCGAACAGACGAGGAGCUUGCUCCUCUGACGUUAGCGGCGGACGGGUGAGUAACACGUGGAUAACCUACCUAUAAGACUGGGAUAACUUCGGGAAACCGGAGCUAAUACCGGAUAAUAUAUUGAACCGCAUGGUUCAAUAGUGAAAGACGGUUUUGCUGUCACUUAUCGCUGGAUACGCGCCGCAUUAGCUAGUUGGUAAGGUAACGGCCUACCAAGGGAACGAUGCGUAGCCGACCGGAGAGGGGGAUCGGCCACACUGGAACUGGGACACGGUCCAGGCUCCUACGGGAGGCAGCAGUAGGGAAUCUUCCGCAAUGGGCGAAAGCCUGACGGAGCGACGCCGCGUGAGUGAUGAAGGUCUUCGGAUCGUAAAACUCUGUUAUUAGUGAAGAACAAAUGUGUAAGUAACUAUGCACGUCUUGACGGUACCUAAUCAGAAAGCCACGGCUAACUACGUG
rnacentral:rRNA from 1 species